AGCCCCUCAGGAGUGGCGGUGGCUUCGGCCAAUGGGAGCUCCCCCUGGCCGUGGCGGGGCGGACCCAGCGGGGCAGACGGGAGGCGCGGCGACCGUGUCUGACGAGAGCCGGAGCAGGCAGUGGGAGGUGGUGGCGGCGGCGGCGCGGGUGCCUCAGGAGGAGGAGGAGGAGGAGGAGAAGCGGAUGAGACUGGAGACCGAAACGCUUGCCAAAUCCUGCGCAGCUCACAAACGGCCCUUCCCGGGGCGCCGCCCCUGCCCCUGCAUUGUGCCCCCAACUCUUGGCCAGAGGCAGCAUGGUCCGCGGGGCACCAUGGGACCUGACAGAGUGACAGCCAGAGAGCUGUGUGAGAAUGACGACCUUGCCACCAGCCUUGUCCUGGACCCCUACCUCGGCUUCCGCACCCAUAAGAUGAACGUCAGCCCCGUGCCCCCCCUGCGGCGACAGCACCACCUGCGCUCAGCGCUGGAGGCCUUCCUGAAGCAGCGGGACCUGGAGGCUGCGUACCGGGCCCUGACGCUGGGAGGCUGGAUGGCCCACUACUUCCAGAGCCGGGGCCCGCGGCAGGAGGCUGCCCUCAAGACCCACAUCUAUCGCUACCUCCGAGCCUUCCUGCCUGAAAGCGGCUUUACCAUCCUGCCCUGUACACGCUAUUCUAUGGAGACAAAUGGAGCCAAGAUUGUGUCUACCAGAGCUUGGAAGAAGAACGAGAAGCUAGAACUGCUGGUGGGCUGCAUCGCGGAGCUGCGGGAGGCUGACGAGGGGCUGCUGAGGGCGGGCGAGAACGACUUCAGCAUCAUGUACUCCACCCGCAAGCGCAGCGCACAGCUGUGGCUGGGCCCCGCCGCCUUCAUAAACCACGACUGCAAACCCAACUGUAAGUUUGUGCCCGCAGAUGGGAACGCAGCCUGUGUGAAGGUACUCCGGGACAUUGAGCCGGGGGACGAGGUAACCUGCUUCUAUGGCGAAGGCUUCUUUGGUGAAAAGAAUGAGCACUGUGAAUGCUAUACCUGUGAGAGGAGAGGCGAAGGGGCCUUCCGACUGCGGCCCAGGGAACCCGCGCCCCCGCGGCUGCUGGACAAGUACGAGCUCCGGGAGACCAAGCGGAGGCUGCAGCAGGGCCUGGAGGGUGGUGGCCGGCUGGGCCCCAGGGCCUGCGCCCACCUGUCCCCACUGCUCCGGGACCCGUUCUGCGCUGCCUGCCAGCCCCUACGCCCCCUGCCCUGCGGCGCCCGCCCCGACGCCUCGCCCCUCUGGCUCCAGUGGCUGCCUCAGCCCCAGCCCCGGGUGCGCCCCCGGAGACGCCGACGCCCCCAGCCCCGGAGGGCCCCCGCUCCCCCCCGUCUCCGUGCCGCCCGCGUCUCCUUGCACCAGUGGGGAGGCUGUGGCCCCCGAUGCUGCCUGCAGGCGGAGGCCCUGGUGGCCCUGGGCCCGGCCCCCCGCGCCCACUGGGCCCCUCAGCAGGACUGGCACUGGGCCCGGCGCUAUGGGCUGCCUUACGUGGUGCGCGUGGACCUGAGCCGGGUGGCCCGGCCCCCGCCUGCUGCCCCCGCCCCUGCCCCUGCCGGGACCCCAGGCCCCACCCCCAUCCCCAAGAAGGCCCUCGCCUUUGCCCCCUUCUCCCCACCCAAGCGCCUGCGGCUGGUGGUCAGCCAUGGCUCCAUUGACCUGGAUGUCAACGGUGACGGGCCGUGAUGGGCCGGAGGGGAGGCCCCAGGCCAGGAGAAGAUGGGAUCCUGCCUAGUCCCCCCUCCCCCACGGCCCCGUGUUCUCGGGGACUCACUGACCUCUAGAAGGAGCUCUUGGACCUCUGGGAAGGAGCUGGCCCUGGACCCCAGCACAGUUCUUACCGGGCUGGGGGCUGGGUCGGUUUGGAGACACCCAGGGAUCUGACCCCUGACCCUUUGUGACUGCUGACCCCUGAGCCGCCCCCGCCCCAUUGGGUGCCCUGGCCGCUGCUGCCCCACCCCCAUCCCCAACUCCAACCUCAGGACUACAGGAGCCGUUCCCUUCCCUACCCCCCUCCUGCCCAGGGAGCAAAGCCAUAAGGGGUGGGGGCCGCCCCUUGGUGUCUCCCCGGAAGCCCAGGCCUCAGGAGGCGGUGGAACUGACCUGGGGGCGGCCCCCCCUAGAGACUGCCCUGCGGAGGGGAGUGGGCUUGGGCUCAGCUCUGCGACUGUCUGAGGUGGGGGGGCAAGGUGGGGGGAUGUCUGGGACACGUCCUCACCACCCCGUGGGUCUCAGGGAGGCCGGACGCGACCUCAUCUUUCUCAUGGUGCUGUCCCUGGUGCUACUGGGGUGUGGGGGUCCCUCCCCUCCCCCACACCAGAACGGGCUUUUCAUUUUGAUUUAUGUGUCGAGGGGAUGUUUGUGGAGCUUUGGAGGGGCGAAGGGUCGAUAGGAUGGCCCCGAGGAUGGCGGAGGACAG